rnacentral:lncRNA from 1 species
GGUAUGCCAUUAGGUAGAUUGGUUGGAAAGACGUCCUAAUAUUUCCACAAAAGUUACUCUGCUCGUUGUCAUAAUACGUGAAGUCUUGCUUGAGAAUGCUCCGGGUACCUUGCUGAAGAAGGAAGAAUGGAAAUUGCAAUAAUAAAAUCCUAAUUCUAAUGGAAUACUAACAAUACUCUAAUUAGACUAUAAUAAUACUAAGCAAGCUUAAUCAAAUUCAAAAAAAUAUCAAAGAAAUUUCAAACAAACAAUAAGAAUUCUUAAAGAAACAUUAGAAGAAACUCAAAUAUCACUCAAAUACAUCUCAAUUGAAUCUUAAUUUAAUUCUAGUUAAAAUCCUAUUGAACUUCAUUCAAACUUUAGGCCAAAACUAAUUGAAUCUUAAAUCCUAAUAAAAUCUUAAAUCCUAAAUCAAAUCCUAAAUAAACCUUAAACCAAACCCCAAUCAAAUCUUAAACCAAAUCCUAACCAAAUCCUAAACCCUAAAUCAAAUCCUAAAUAAAUCCUCAAUCAAAUCCUAAUCCAAAUCCUAAUCCAAAUCCUAAACCCUAAACCAAACUCUAAUCAAAUCCUAAAUCUUAAAUCAAAUUCUAAUCAAAUCCUAAACCCUAAAUAAAAUCCUAACCAAAUUCUAAACCAAAUCCUAAUUCAAACUCUAAAUCUUGAACCAAAUCCUAAACAAAUCCUAAAUCCUAAAUCAAAUCCUAAUCCAAACCCUAAACUCCAAACCAAAUCCUAACCAAACCCUAAACCAAAUCCUAACCAAACCCUAAACCAAAUCCUAAUAAUUCCUACAACAGAUUUAAAUCUCAAUAAUUAAUGAAUAAACCGUUGAUCUUAAUUCAAAUUUUUUUACACUUCUAAAAAAAUAAGUUAUAAACAAGUACAAAAAAAUUGAUAAGGAUCGGAAUAACCAAAUUGACAAUAAUCUCAAAAAUGUGCUCGGGUAUUGGCCGACCUCCUUCUCCAAUCUUAAUGCCAAUCUUCUAGAGCCAAUAUCUCUCCU